UCAUAUCAAAGGUAGGGAGCUUGCCAACAAUAGUGCGCCAGACAAAGAGAGAUCGUCGAGCGGGAAUAAAAGGGGCCCAAAUCCAGGAUCCCCAGUCGACCUUAGGGAACUGAGGACGUAUGUGAGCAAAGGCCGAAGCAGCAGUAAUGUUCCCGAAACCUGAGUGUAUCCAGGAUCUGUCAUCCGCCAAUCCAGGAAUGGGGGUAGAAAUGAUGUCGAGAGCAAUGCGCGGGAAAGCCUGGAUAAAACUAUAAGUGAGGUGCCACUUAUUAU
rnacentral:lncRNA from 1 species